rnacentral:lncRNA from 1 species
AGACAAGGGGUAGAAUGUGCUGGUUUUGCAUUAAUUGGUAUUUGGUGAAGAGAGAAGAAACCAACCACAGAAAUGAUUUUUCUGAGAGAAGCUGCUAAGAGCUUCUUCUGUGCCUGGAAAAAAACCAAUAGCUGGCUAGUUCUGAGAAUUGGUGAAUCUAAACCAGUCCACCAUUGCAAGAGAAAAUUUUGUCCUUAAGGGCCAACAAUUUUUUAUGGACUGUGCAGCAAGAGUAUGAAAAUGCUCCUGUCUGCUUUCUCUGGUACUGUGAAUGCUCCUACCUGGAUGCCUGCUCUCUCCUUGGAGAGCAGCAGUAGGCAGGGGCUGAUUCCUUUUGGGAAUCCUUGCAGCACCUCUUCUGCGCCUGGAUGCCCAGUUUGAGAGGUGUGUACAAACCUUACAGACCAGCAAAAC